rnacentral:lncRNA from 1 species
GUAGACCGGAGCUGUUCCUAUUCGGCCAUCUUGGCUCCUCCCUCCACAUCUCUUAUCUCUUAUCAAUAACAGGGGAAUCCUCCUCUUUCUGCAAGGAGUGCACAAGGAUUUAAGGCCAUGUGCAGUGGCUCACAGUGUAAUCUCAGCACUACAGGAGGCUCAGACAGGAGGAUUGCUUAAGUCUGGGAGUUCAAGACCUGCCUGGGCAACAAAACGAGACCCUGUCUCUAAAAAAAUAAAAACAGGAUUUAAAAUGGAAUUCUUUCCACCCUACUGUUGGCUAAGAUUCUUCUAUUAAUUUUCUGUGGCUGCUGUAACAAAUUACCCCAAACUGGGUGGCUCAAAUUUAUAACAAUUUAUUAUUUCCCAGUUCUGGAGUCCAAAAGUCCCAAAUCAGUAUCCCUAGGAUGAAAUCAAGGUGUCUGCAGGGCCGCACUGCCUCAGGAGGCUCUGGAGGAGAAUCGAUUCCUUGCCUCUCCCAGCAUCAGGUGCCGCCAGCAUUCCUUGACGUGCGGUUGCAGCACUUUCAUCUCUGCCUUCAUGCACGCUGCCUCCUCAUCUGUGUGUCAGCUCUCCCUCUACCUCCCUGUUCUAGGGAUUCUUAUGAUUUCGUGAAGAGCCCACCCAGGCUAAUCCAGGAUAAUCUCAUCUCAAGAUCUGGGGCAGCCCUGGAGAAACACCUGAAAGAGCUCAUUAUUUUCUUUAGCAGUAGAUAGCUGAGAAAGCUCAGUAUUAUUUCUUUUUUUUGUAUUGUUUUUUUGAGAUGGAGUCUCACUCUGUCACCCAGGCUAGAGGGCAGUGGCUAAUUUUUGUAUUUUUAGUAGAGAUGGGGUUUCACCAUGUUGGCCAGGCUGUUCUCAAACUCCUGACCUCAGAUGAUCCACAGAUAUUAUUUCUUAAACAGCUUAUUUUAUUCUCUGGAUCUCUUGGUAUGCUAGCUCACAAGGACUCCUGAUGGUCCAGCAGCUUCAGAACAUUUUACCAGUUAUCAGAGGAAGAUAAAGCCUGCUCAAACCCAGAAAAAACCAGAACCAGCAACUCCUUGUUGCCUUUAGAUCAUUAACAUAUCAUUAUAAUACUAAAAGCCCCACCCAUGGAAGAAAAUCGCCGCCAUUUUCUGAACAUGCUUUGUAUGAAGAGGCAUGUUUAUGAUUUGCACCUGCACAUACUUACAAACCUCCCACAUCCAUAGCUAACGCCUUAAAAUCCCCCAGCUUCCCACAGCUUGGGGAGUAGGAGGUGUCUUGGGAGCGAGAGCUCACUCCUUCUCCUUCUCUGGCCAGAGAAUAAAUCCUGCUUGCCUUUUUUCCAAUUGGGUAUUCUUUCCCUGUGACCAAUGUAAAGUAGGAAAGGAACUCAGUUUACCAGUGACAGAUGCUCAGUUUAACCACAUUUUUUUGCCAAAUAAAGUAAUAUUCACAGGUGAGGAUUAGGACCUGUAAUAUUUGAGGAAUGUUUUCCAUUCUACUAUGGCUCCCAAAGGCCAGGGACAAACCACCAGGAGCCAGGCUAAUGCCAGACUCAAAAUGCAUCAAAGGGGUAAAUUAAAAAAAAAAAAAGAGUCAAAUGCCGUCACCUGCCUACAUGUACAGCAGGGGACACUGAGGAGGCCCAAACAGGGGUAUAGCUUGUGCAAAGUCAGCAGGAUGAGUUUCCUCCCAUCCCCACAAAGGAGGAGAGGGGACCUUUUCCCCUUUUCCCUUCCCAUCAGGCUAUGUACAGUGCUGCUGGGAACACAGGGGAGCAGGGUAGCCACUUUUAACUUGAUUUGCAUCCCCUAAAACUGUGCAGAGUGCAGACAUUGGCACCUGACUUAUUUCUGGGGAAAACUAACAGCAGAGACUGUGACCACUGGCCUGACCUAGAAGAACCGAGUGAGAGAGGGGUGGGACUGCUAUGGAUAGAGAAGAGUCUCUUAUGAACCACAUGAGAAGCCAUGGAGGACCCUGCCAGCACAGAUGGCUUCCUGGAAGGCACCAUGACCCAACAGAGGGACCGACACACAGAAGCCCCAGGAUGGAGGGAGGAAUCUUCAUAAAGCUGCUUGCCCAGAACACGGCACUGCCUGCAUCAAGAGAUUCACAAUCCAAAAGGUCCCGGAAGGGAGAGAUGUAGAACUGGUCAUCUCUACACCCCAUGUCUCAUUACAGCUGUGCCCGCCAACGAGGACUUUCUGGUCCCUUCCCAUAUCUCCUUCCCCUCAGCUCCAGCCCCAGGGAAGCCAGAAUCAAUAUCACGAGGCAGCAGGAGGAGGAAAGAAUCUCCAGUCACGGAUCUUGAGCCUCAGGCAGGCACAGAACAGAAGAGGAAAAGAACUUUGGCUUUAGAUAAAGCUUUCUGUUUUGAUGCCUACAUUGCCUUGGCCAUUUUAUUUAUUGAAAUGCUUGAUUUCCAGGAGACUCAUCUUGGAUUUUAAACAACCUAGAAGACUUUUUAUUACCAAUAGCGAUAAAGUUAUUUGAUUUGCCUGAUUUUUCAUCCAGCGUUGCAGAAUGUACAAAAUUACAACAUGGAUUCUAAUGCAUUGGAGAGAGAAAAUAAGGUCGUUUUCUGCAGGUACCUUAUCAAGGCUGGUUCAUUCACUGUAUUUGUUGUAAUUUCUUUUUAUCUUUCUAUCUCCUUUUAUUAUUUAAGCCAGAAAGCUAUAUUUCACAGAUGUUUCUAAGACACCAGGCAAGGCUACUAUCAGUAUGUGUAGCAGCCAGAGCUUCCCGCGUCUUUCUAUUUUCAAAGAUGAACUGUAAAAAUCACCUUCACAAUGUAUGUCCCUAAGCCAUAGAUUACAAAGAUUUCUGGGUCUGUGGGGAGUGCCCGUGGUUCCACAAUUAGCUGAACCCCUGACCUCGCCGCUUAACAGCAGUUCAUUUGGCUUCUAAAUGCCAUCCAGCCGGCCGAUGUCAGUUUAGAUACAGCAUUUUUCUGUAGCCUGGGAACAAAGGUCACUGUUUUCCUCAUUCUUCCGGUGCCUGGGAAUCCCCUGUCUUUUCUCACCCUUUGUAGGUGCUGCAAAUGUGUCCAUCUCUGCAUUGAUCUGCUUCUAGGGUAAGCAGCCCUCACAGUUGGAGCAGAUAAAGACAGACAAGAAUGGAAUGAAAGAGUUUUACACCAGGCUUCCCUCUUCUGUUUCUCUUCUUUGUAGACUCAGGCUGUGAACAUGAAAUUUGAAUCAAGGUGAUAAACAGCAUCAAGGUUUCCCAUAAUCUCUGGUGGGCCCAGGCACAUCAUUCUUUCCCGUUUCAAGUGUUGUCCUCGGAAUAGCCCAGGAUAGCAUCUGAACACGUGGAAAUGGCACUGGGUUAGAUGUCAAGAGACCUGCGACGUGGUCUCGGCUAAGCGCCCUAUUAUUCCCGUGGGCAUAUGAAGGCCUCCU